rnacentral:tRNA from 1 species
GGCGCCAUCGUCUAACGGCUUAGGACGAGGCCCUUUCAAGGCCUAAAUACGAGUUCGAUUCUCGUUGGCGCCACCC